rnacentral:rRNA from 1 species
AGUGAACGCUGGCGGCGUGCUUAACACAUGCAAGUCGAACGAGAACGGGUUAUAGCUUGCUAUAAUUGUCAGCUAAGUGGCGCACGGGUGAGUAAUGUAUAGGUAAUAUGCCUCUUACUAAGGGAUAACAAAUGGAAACGUUUGCUAAUACCUUAUACUCCUUAUUAACAGAAGUUAAUAAGGGAAAGAUUUAUUGGUAAGAGAUUAGCCUGUAUUGUAUCAGUUAGUUGGUGGGGUAAUGGCUUACCAAGACUAUGACACAUAACUGGUUUGAGGGGAUGAUCAGUCACACUGGAACUGAGACACGGUCCAGACUCCUACGGGAGGCAGCAGUGGGGAAUAUUGCACAAUGGACGAAAGUCUGAUGCAGCAACGCCGCGUGGAGGAUGACACAUUUCGGUGCGUAAACUCCUUUUAUAUGAGAAGAUAAUGACGGUAUUAUAUGAAUAAGCACCGGCUAACUCCGUGCCAGCCGCCGCCGCCG